UGUGGCAGAAUAGUGCAAUAAAUUUAAGAUUUAUUCAAAAAGUUAACCUUUCUUUAGA
rnacentral:tRNA from 4 species